UACGUAGGGUGCGAGCGUUAAUCGGAAUUACUGGGCGUAAAGCGUGCGCAGGCGGUUCGGUGUGUCUGGGGUGAAAGCCCCGGGCUUAACCUGGGAAUGGCCAUGGAAACUGGCGAGCUGGAGUGUGGCAGAGGGGGGUGGAAUUCCGCGUGUAGCAGUGAAAUGCGUAGAGAUGCGGAGGAACACCGAUGGCGAAGGCAGCCCCCUGGGCUAACACUGACGCUCAGGCACGAAAGCGUGGGGAGCAAACAGG
rnacentral:rRNA from 1 species